CUGAAUAAAUAUAAAAGACUAUCUUUGUCAUUUAUCUUCUUGCAUAGAUCUCAAAGCACAUCAUCUUCUAUCACUCAUUUAUUUACAUGAAUAUCAAAAUGCUCCAUCCUUUGUCAUCCAUUCAUGUGCAUAGAUCUCAAUGCACUUAUCUUUUGUCAUUCAUCCAUUUGCACAUAUCUCAAAGUAUAACCCUCCUCCCUAAAAUAAAAGCUCUUUGCUCGGUU
rnacentral:lncRNA from 1 species